GGAGAAGUACCCAAGUGGCCGAAGGGGGCAGUCUCGAAAACUGCUAGUAGGUGUAUGCCUAGCAAGGGUUCAGAUCCCUUCUUCUCCGCCA
rnacentral:tRNA from 1 species